UAAGGAAUAUUGGUCAAUGGUGGGAACACUGAACCAGCCAUCCCGCGUGCAGGAUGAAGGCCCUCUGGGUUGUAAACUGCUUUUAACAGGGAAGAAACGAGUGGGCUUGCCUGCUCCUGACGGUACCUGUGGAAUAAGCACCGGCUAACUCCGUGCCAGCAGCCGCGGUAAUACGGAGGGUGCAAGCGUUAUCCGGAAUCACUGGGUUUAAAGGGUGCGUAGGCGGCGUGGUAAGUCAGGGGUGAAAGCUUCCCGCUCAACGGGAGAACUGCCCUUGAUACUGCCAGGCUUGAAUUGGGCUGAGGCUGGCGGAACGCGGCAUGUAGCGGUGAAAUGCUUAGAUAUGCCGCAGAACACCGAUUGCGAAGGCAGCCGGCCAAGCCUUGAUUGACGCUGAGGC
rnacentral:rRNA from 1 species